GACGAACGCUGGCGGCGUGCCUAACACAUGCAAGUCGAGCGGAGAUAUUUAGUAAUAGAUAUCUUAGCGGCGGACGGGUGAGUAACGCGUGGGCAACCUGCCUUGAACUGGGGGAUAACACAGGGAAACUUGUGCUAAUACCGCAUAAGAUCAUAGGAUGGCAUCAUCCAGUGAUCAAAGGAGUAAUCCGGUUUGAGAUGGGCCCGCGUCCGAUUAGCUAGUUGGUAGUGUAAUGGACUACCAAGGCGACGAUCGGUAGCCGAACUGAGAGGUUGAUCGGCCACAUUGGGACUGAGACACGGCCCAGACUCCUACGGGUGGCUG
rnacentral:rRNA from 1 species